GCAGAGGCCAGAGUCCACUUGAAGUGUUCACACUCUCAGAGGCCAAGUUUAGAUCUUAUCUGCCUGAGAUUCCUUUUAACACUGAUUUGUCAUAGCAGGUAGCUGACAGCAUCUACUCCUGAAGACCGGAAACAUGGCUUGUACCAUCCAAAAGGCAGAAGCACUUGACGGGGCUCAUUUGAUGCAGAUCCUCUGGUAUGAUGAGGAAGAGUCUC
rnacentral:lncRNA from 1 species